rnacentral:rRNA from 1 species
ACGAACGCUGGCGGCGUGGAUAAGACAUGCAAGUCGAACGGGAGAAUUGCUAGCUUGCUAAUAAUUCUCUAGUGGCGCACGGGUGAGUAACACGUGAGUAACCUGCCUCUUAGUGGGGGAUAGCCCUGGGAAACCGGGAUUAAUACCGCAUACGAUUGAAAGAUCAAAGCAGCAAUGCGCUAGGAGAUGGGCUCGCGGCCUAUUAGUUAGUUGGUGAGGUAACGGCUCACCAAGGCGAUGACGGGUAGCCGGUCUGAGAGGAUGUCCGGCCACACUGGAACUGAGACACGGUCCAGACACCUACGGGUGGCAGCAGUCGAGAAUCAUUCACAAUGGGGGCAACCCUGAUGGUGCGACGCCGCGUGGGGGAAUGAAGGUCUUCGGAUUGUAAACCCCUGUCAUGUGGGAGCAAAUUAAAAAGAUAGUACCACAAGAGGAAGAGACGGCUAACUCUGUGCCAGCAGCCGCGGUAAUACAGAGGUCUCAAGCGUUGUUCGGAAUCACUGGGCGUAAAGCGUGCGUAGGCUGUUUCGUAAGUCGUGUGUGAAAGGCAGGGGCUCAACCCCUGGAUUGCACAUGAUACUGCGAGACUAGAGUAAUGGAGGGGGAACCGGAAUUCUCGGUGUAGCAGUGAAAUGCGUAGAUAUCGAGAGGAACACUCGUGGCGAAGGCGGGUUCCUGGACAUUAACUGACGCUGAGGCACGAAGGCCAGGGGAGCGAAAGGGAUUAGAUACCCCUGUAGUCCUGGCAGUAAACGGUGCACGCUUGGUGUGCGGGGAAUCGACCCCCUGCGUGCCGGAGCUAACGCGUUAAGCGUGCCGCCUGGGGAGUACGGUCGCAAGAUUAAAACUCAAAGAAAUUGACGGGGACCCGCACAAGCGGUGGAGUAUGUGGCUUAAUUCGAUGCAACGCGAAGAACCUUACCUGGGCUUGACAUGUAAUGAACAACAUGUGAAAGCAUGCGACUCUUCGGAGGCGUUACACAGGUGCUGCAUGGCCGUCGUCAGCUCGUGUCGUGAGAUGUUUGGUUAAGUCCAGCAACGAGCGCAACCCCUGUUGCCAGUUACCAGCACGUCAAGGUGGGGACUCUGGCGAGACUGCCCAGAUCAACUGGGAGGAAGGUGGGGACGACGUCAGGUCAGUAUGGCCCUUAUGCCCAGGGCUGCACACGUACUACAAUGCCCAGUACAGAGGGGGCCGAAGCCGCGAGGCGGAGGAAAUCCUGAAAACUGGGCCCAGUUCGGACUGUAGGCUGCAACCCGCCUACACGAAGCCGGAAUCGCUGGUAAUGGCGCAUCAGCUACGGCGCCGUGAAUACGUUCCCGGGUCUUGUACACACCGCCCGUCACAUCAUGGAAGCCGGUCGCACCCGAAGUAUCUGAAGCCAACCGCAAGGAGGCAGGGUCCUAAGGUGAGACUGGUAACUGGGAUG